AUGGCUAUUCUGGGACAAUUUCUGAGCUUCAAAGGCUUGCAUUUUGGAUCAGUGCUGAGUUGUCUCUGUUUGGCAUUUGUGCUGGAAGCAGUCCCAGAAUUUCCAGGCUAUCUUAAGAAAGUCUUGAAGAACCAUACAGCGCAUGCAUGUGAAGGAGAGAAAUUGCGACUCACUUGCCCACAAAAGACAUCUAUCAGCAUCCUUUCUGCUUUUUAUGGUCAUAAAGUCCCUGAUGAAAACUUUUGUCCAACUCUAAUUGUGCCUGUAAAGCUGCUGCAAAAAAUUGACCAUAGCUCACUGGACCCAUUUACACUGUCUGAUUAUAUAUAUAUGGCAUCCCUGAGAAAAUGGGCCUGUAUUUCCUGUGUGGUGUCUCUGGAGGCCUUAUCUUUCUAUUACGCAUCUUUACUUCCAAAAUGA
rnacentral:lncRNA from 1 species